AUAUAAGGAACUAACUAAGAAAAGACGAGUGAAUUCGAAGUAAAAAUAUAUAUAAAUAUGAUUCGAUCAAAUACCCCCAUACUUAGCUUUUGCUAGUCCUCGAGCAAAACAAAGAAAACAUGAAAAAGUACUAACAUGAAAAACAUUAGUUUCCCCCUAUGUGACCUUCAUAGAAUUUCAUUUGAGAACACAAAUCAUCAAGAACCAUAGCUAGCACCAAACAAGUUAAAUCAAGUUCAUCUUCCUUAUUCAAAUAUUAGCAGUAAUCUUUGAAUCAUCCUUGAAGGGUAGUGUGUGAGAUAGCCAUGCUAAUGCAAUUUCAAAUUUUUAUUUUUAAAAUCAUCAUAUGCAAACUAGUAACCUUCUCACGGGAUAAACACUCAAUCACAUAUGUGUUUAGUUUUAAUGUGUUUCGCUCAAAGAAUCAAAUGUGAAAUUUCUACCAUAAGCUUGCAUAAAGAUCACUUCUCCACAGUCAUAAUUGCAAAACUUAAAUCAAGAGGACUUUUAUUGGAUGUAAUGAGGCUUAGGGAGAGGGUUAUUGAAACGAAAGAAUAGGAAAACACAAGUUCCAAGCUACAUUGCAAGCAAUUCUUUUCUUUAGAUUUAUAAAAACUCAAGCUCUCCAACGAUUCUUCUGAAACCUCCAACCACACCCUUAAACUGAAACUUUAAAAACUUUUUAUUUUCUUUGUAUACAAUCCUUCUUUUUCUUUUCUUUUUUUUUUUUUUUUUUUUUUUUUUUUUUUUUUUUUUAAAUACAAACAUGAAAUACCCCCACACUUAUUCUUUUGCCAAACACCUUCAAAGUACUUCACAAACGUUUCUCAUAAGACAAUCUCGCAUUGCUCGCUUGGAAAGGGUAAUGAAAAAUGUUUCAGGUAUAAGGGUAGACAUAUCUGGUGAUAAGAAAUAAAAGGUUCAACAUACACAGCUCAAAUUGGCAAACUAAUGAUAUCAUUUUUCUUUGGGAAACAUGGUUAUUUGGGCCAUAGUGGUAAACCUAAUGCCUCUAUCAUUUCCAAGUUCAUGCAAUCAAUGACAAACAAUUCGAAAGAUCGUUACGCAAGUUCUAGAGAUGUAUAUCACAUAAGUUCAUCACACAUAAAAAAAUAGGAGUGUAUGAAAAAUGCACACACUUUCAAUAGGCUCAAAAACUCACAUAGGAUGUAUAUGGUCACUAAAUUCACAUAUGAAGCUUUAAGUCAUACUUUAGUUUCACAUUAACAAGGCUAUGUGCAUUUGGUUUUUCAAAGAUGAUCAAACAUGUACAAAACUAACAAGAGAAUAAGGAAUUUCACAAAACACAUGUUAACUAAGUUCUUGAUGAUCAUGGUUCGAAUUUGAUCCAAUUAUAUCAUUGAGUCGGGAAACUAACAAAAAUCUAAUUCAAAACAAUAAGGGGAACAAGACAAUUUUUUUGGAUUUUUUUAAAUUUUCCGAUUUUUUUUUUUUUUUUAGAGAAAACAAAACUAAAAAAAUAAAAAGCAACAACACAGAAACAAAUGAAACCAGUUCGAAGUUGAAGGUACAAAAAAUUUCAAUUUGGUCAUUUUUACCCUUUACCCCCACACUUAAACUGGACAUUGUCCCCAAUGUCAUAAAACACUAUAAUGCAAAUAAAAAUAUAAAAUAAAAUAAAUAAAUAAUAAGAAACAAAAUAACGCAAUUGGACUGAAAACUUCCCUAAUUUGCAGUAAAAUCAAGCGAUGACCCCCAAGCUAAAAUUCUACAAUCAGCUUCAAGGGUGGAAAGAACCAAAAGUUCCUGCAAAGAAAAGAAAUAAUUCAGUUAAGUAACGCAAGAAAAUUAAUUAAAAAAAAAAAAAAAUUGCAAACGAAAAAUUGAAAAUUACGAUAAAAGAUAUGAAUAAAACUAAUAAGUAAUCAUUGGUCGUGCUUGUUGACUUUCCACAGCGUUCCUCUUGAACAGGGUGACACUUAGCUUUUUACUUGCAAGUGAUGAUUUGAUGAUAUUGUACGGCGAAGCUUU
rnacentral:lncRNA from 1 species